rnacentral:rRNA from 1 species
UACAGAGGUCUCAAGCGUUGUUCGGAUUCAUUGGGCGUAAAGGGUGUGUAGGUGGCGCCGUAAGUCGGGUGUGAAAUUUCGGAGCUUAACUCCGAAACUGCAUUCGAUACUGCGGUGCUUGAGGACUGGAGAGGAGACUGGAAUUCCUGGUGUAGCGGUGAAAUGCGCAGAUAUCAGGAGGAACACCGGUGGCGAAGGCGGGUCUCUGGGCCGAAAUUGACGCUGAGGAGCGAAAGCGUGGGGAGCAAACAGG